AUUUAUAACAUGACCUUGACCUUCGACCUUGAUCUCAAUUUCAAGGUCAUAGGUCAGUGAACUCAAAACGGAAGACCGGAGGUCAAUCACUUGUAUGGUUGUGGAGAAAUACUGAUUUGAAAUACAUAACGGGAGAAAACUCCUAUAUGAGUUAACCAGAAAUAAGUUGAAGUUGCGCCUUAUUGUAAACAGUUAUUUGGCAAACACAUCAUAUCAUUUACUGUCAUCGUUUCUGUGGAAUAACGAUAACAAGCAAAAUUUAAAAUCUAUAACAUGACCUUGACCUUUGACCUUGACCUCAAUUUCCUUCAAAUGGAUCAAGGACUUCAUAUCAAAAGACUGUAGGCCUCUACGACUUAUAACGUAUGAAUUUAUCCAACACAUCGCCUAUCUUAAAUUUUCAAAGGGAAAUAACUCCCAUAAGAUGUCCUCCGAUCACUCAAUUCAAAAUUAACCAAAUCAUUCUUAAGAGUAGACGAACAAUUUGGUGAAAACAGUUUGCUAAAAUCUUUUACGGUUUUAGAGAUGUAGCGAUAACAAGAAAAAGGGGACGCGGGGAGAUAACUCCUAUAAGAAUAAGUGGUCGGUCAAACAGGGUGAGUUUUGAAACCCCCAUUACUGUACAACAUCAUUGGCCAAAAAAUCCAUUCGAUAUGUUGUAAGACAAAAAGCAUCUCAGACGGCAGAAGAAAAAAAAAAUAAUCAGAAGAAAAACCAAAG
rnacentral:lncRNA from 1 species